UACGUAGGGUGCGAGCGUUGUCCGGAAUUAUUGGGCGUAAAGAGCUUGUAGGCGGUUUGUCGCGUCUGCCGUGAAAAUCCGGGGCUCAACCCCGGACUUGCGGUGGGUACGGGCAGACUAGAGUGUGGUAGGGGAGACUGGAAUUCCUGGUGUAGCGGUGGAAUGCGCAGAUAUCAGGAGGAACACCGGUGGCGAAGGCGGGUCUCUGGGCCGAUACUGACGCUGAGGAGCGAAAGCGUGGGGAGCGAACAGG
rnacentral:rRNA from 1 species